rnacentral:rRNA from 1 species
GGCCGCGGGAAUUCGAUUAGAGUUUGAUCCUGGCUCAGGACGAACGCUGGCGGCGUGCUUAACACAUGCAAGUCGAACGGAAAACAUAGCAAUAUGUUUUUAGUGGCGAACGGGUGAGUAACGCGUAGACAACCUACCUCAAAGAUGGGGACAACACCGCGAAAGUGGUGCUAAUACCGAAUGUGCUAACAACUUCACCUGAAGAAGUUAGGAAAGGUGGCCUCUAUUUAUAAGCUACCGCUUUGAGAUGGGUCUGCGUCUGAUUAGCUAGUUGGUGAGGUAACGGCUCACCAAGGCGACGAUCAGUAGCCGGUCUGAGAGGAUGAACGGCCACACUGGGACUGAGACACGGCCCAGACCCCUACGGGAGGCAGCAGUGGGGAAUCUUCCGCAAUGGGCGAAAGUCUGACGGAGCAACGCCGCGUGAGUGAAGAAGGCCUUCGGGUUGUAAAGCUCUGUCUUUGGGGACGAAUGUGGGUAGGGUAAAUAAUCCUAUCUAAUGACGGUACCCGAGGAGGAAGCCACGGCUAACUACGUGCCAGCAGCCGCGGUAAUACGUAGGUGGCAAGCGUUGUCCGGAAUUAUUGGGCGUAAAGCGCGCGCAGGCGGGAACUUAAGUCUAUCUUAAAAGUUCGGGGCUCAACCCCGUGAUGGGGUAGAAACUGGGUUUCUUGAGUAUCGGAGAGGAAAGUGGAAUUCCCAGUGUAGCGGUGAAAUGCGUAGAUAUUGGGAGGAACACCAGUGGCGAAGGCGACUUUCUGGACGAUGUCUGACGCUGAGGCGCG